rnacentral:misc_RNA from 1 species
AAGUCGUAACAAGGUUUCCGUAGGUGAACCUGCGGAAGGAUCAUUAACGAAUUAUUGAGGCUAGUGCUGGUUCUUACAAGUGCACACACCUCUUCAUUCAUUCACACCUGUGCACCUUUAGAGACGCUAUUACCCCCGUAUACGAUUAAUCCUGGGUCUCGGCCUAGGGGUUAGGGUUUAGCGGCUAUUAUACACACUUUAAACAUUCAGAAUGUAAUCGCAGCAAUGCAAAAAAAAAAAUAUAACUUUCAACAACGGAUCUCUUGGUUCUC